rnacentral:rRNA from 1 species
UACGAAGGGGGCUAGCGUUGUUCGGAAUUACUGGGCGUAAAGCGCACGUAGGCGGAUAUUUAAGUUAGGGGUGAAAUCCCAGGGCUCAACCCUGGAACUGCCUUUAAUACUGGGUAUCUCGAGUCCGAGAGAGGUGAGUGGAAUUCCGAGUGUAGAGGUGAAAUUCGUAGAUAUUCGGAGGAACACCAGUGGCGAAGGCGGCUCACUGGCUCGGUACUGACGCUGAGGUGCGAAAGCGUGGGGAGCAAACAGG